GCUGUUGCUCAGUGAUAGAGCAUCUGCCUUGUGUGCAUAAGCUCCCAGGUUCAAUUCUUGGCAUCUCCA